rnacentral:tRNA from 1 species
GCCUCGGUAGCGCAAUGGACCAGCAAGGCAGACCGGAUCUCUCUGUAAAUGCGGGUUCGAGUCCCGCCCGAGGUU